AGUACUCUUCCCUUAAUGUCCCAAUUUUCUGGAGAGUAUCAGAUGUAUUAGUGGUCAAAUAAAACCACGAGGGACUGGAAAUAUGUGACUGCGACCUAUGUAGAUUUGGCAUCACUGCAUACAUUUCGGAUGUGCGAUUGCCCUAGAGUUGAGAAAAUAGAAGGUUUAGAACAGGCCAAGUCAUUGAAGAUACUGAACGUGCUGGAAGGUUUGGAGAAUGUAGACUGAUUGGAAGAACUAGUACUUGCACUCCAUUUUUUCAUCUUGGUCCUAGAUUGUCCAAUGCUAGAGGUAGAAGUGGCAAGGAAGGCAGAGGUGGCACUAUCACUGAUUGGAUUCUUUUACCUAUUAUAUUUAAGUUCAAUUCCCAUAUAGCUUAUAGAUAAUUUUUUCAUGUUUACCAUUGAAAGAAAAGGAUUGUAGCUAGAUUUAGCCAAGCUAGCUGCAGCUUUGUAAGGCUUCCAGACAAGUAAUCCUUACUGACAUUUGUUUCUUUAUCAUUUGCUCAUGAAGGAUGUUUAAGCUAUAAUACUCUUGUGUUCACCGUGGCCUUUGCUUUUGGGUGCACUGGUGAACUCGGUACUUUGAUAUUCAGAUAGUUAAUAGAAUUAUAAUUUUCAUAUUAUGUCCUUUUUAAAUAUUGUGGGGUCCAAUUAAAUUAUCAUUGAUGUAGCUAAAUAGAUACUUUGUAGGAAAGCUACAAUAGAUUCUAUUACUCAAUCAGUUACACUGAGCAAAGAGGUUGCAGACAUAACUAUCUUGCAGGAUUAAUCUGAAGACAGUUCUAGCACAUACUGGAUACUAUAAAAUUUAGUGAUAGGUGUUUAUUGUGCCCAUGUAAAUAGUUUUCUCUCUGUUCCUCUUUGACCAUAGAUUUAAAUUUGAUGCCAGAUUUCUAACAAGCAGCCACUCAGCAAUAAUGUAGAUCAAAAAUGUAUACAAAAAAAGGCCUCUGACAUUUUGCUGUUGAAAUAAUUUGAAUAGAACAUUGGCUCUCUUAUCUCUAAUUUUAAUGCGUUACAGGUAAUGGAAAAUUUGAUUUUUUGUUGUGAUCUAUUUAAGUUUUACAUGAUAGAUGCUAGGGUUUUGUUUCAGUUAAUUAAAGUUCUUUGUUUAUGGUUUAAAGUUCUUGUGAAAAAUGUAUUUGUUGUACUUUGGAAUAAAAUCAUAUCACCUGAAUGGUACAUCUCAAGGCCCAUGCAAAUUUGCACAUGAAACUGAAGAUUGUGGAACAGGAUUGUUCUCAAGUACAACAAAGCACACAUUCAGAUAAGUUUGUAACAGUAUAUACAAUGCACAUUAAUUUAUUACCCCUAAACUAAUGCAGGGUGUUGUGUAUUUCGCUUAAAUAAGUAGUUAGAUAAAAUGUUUGCUUCUCUUUAAAGUGUGUUACUGCCAUGUAAAUAAGUAGUUAGAUUAAUGGGUUGUGUGUAAAUUGGAAACAAGUCUAGUUGACUCAAAAACUUUUCCAUUUUGUUGAAUACAGUUCUUGUUUCAAUUAUGUAUUUAUUGCAUGCUACAUCCUUCGUCUCUACAAGGUAGCAAUCUCUGCAUCCAUCCUGGUCUCUGUGAGCCUUGGCUAUUUGUCUCAAGGGUGUAUGAAGAAUUUCUCGCAAUUUAUAGGUUACUAAUGUUUUGUUAAUUUGAGCAAUGAUACAUAUUUGCUUAUUCAACUCUUAGUUCUUUUAUUUGUUAUGUAUGUUUUCAUGAACUGAGAAUGACAGAGCAUAGACAUAGUUGUGUUUAUCUAGAAGUUGUUUUGUUACGUUCAGCAAUGAGAGAGCGUGGAUAUAAUUGUGCUUAUCCAGCUGUUGAUUUUUAAUGUUUGUAUACAAGUUAUGUUAAGGUGAGCUGGCUCCUUGCCCUGUGGCUUUUAAUAUCAUUAUAUGUUCUGUAACUUUAAUGUAGAUUGUCAAAUUGUUUUAGCUUUAUGUGAUUGCAGGUAUCCAAAGACGAAUUCCUUAUGCACCAUGACAAAUAUGAGGCAGAUGGUGGAUACCAUGGAAUGGCAUUUUGAGGAUUCCUUUAUGUUCCAUUGAAGGUAAAAGAAUGAGACAAGAAGACAAAAACCAUACGGCUACUUAUAGUAAAUGAGUCUAUAAAUGCUUUAGCAGUUUGCAGGGAUGCCUUGCUUAGAAAUAUCAGUGGGGUUUUAUUUUGUUUGCAUUUAUAUUAGGAUGUAGCAGAGAGUUUCCUCAUUAGCUUGGGUUAUGUUUCUUUUGUAUUUCAAGUGGUAGGUCGGUUUGUUAUUUCUGUGUGGAUAUUGUGUAUCAGAUUUGUAGACUUGUAUGGAGAUUAAACAGAUGAGGUGGCUUGUAAUAUCUUCCAGGCCAAGCAGGCCUAUAGCGCCUUUCAAGACAAAGCACCACUGGUCGUAGCUCACAGUGGACUAUCCGGACUUUUUCUUGCACAAAGAACCAGUGGCCAUAGCUUGCGUUGGACUAUCUGGACUUUUUCUUGAACAAACUCUUCCUGCAUAUCAAAUUACAAUCAUGAACAACGAAUUUGAUGUUGUAAUGUUCUGCAAUUUGCAAUUAACAAAAGAUGCACAAGAGCAUAUGCCAAACAGAUUUAAACUUAGGGAACAGUAUAAACUUAAAUUUUGUUUUUCCCAAAUCAGAAUACUUAUUUAGUCAAUGGCCAAAACAUCACUGUAUAUUUUGAACAUAUUGAAUUUAUACUAAUAUUCAUGGGAA